rnacentral:lncRNA from 1 species
GUUUUCAACGAGACCCACAAAGCGCAGUCACUGACCCUGUGCCCAGACACCUUGUGUAGAUCCGUGCUUAGCAAACUCAGAAGGCCCUGUCACCAGCAGGAAGGAAGAGACCCCACGACUGAGGGCAGUGGGCUAUGAGAUUUGUGACCCUUUCCUCUGCCUGCCUCUGCCCCUGCCCCUUGGGACCCUGCUGGACCAGGCAUCCAUCCUAUGGAACUUUCCAUGAAGCGUUGACCUCCCUGCCCCUGAGGCAUUGGACAGGGGCCAGGAAAUGGAAUGAAAGCAGCCAGUCUCUGAAGAGCUGGAGACCAUCAUCUGCCUCGGGAAGCCCAGGGAACCUCGGCUCAGACAGGACAGAGACUGUGGGAAGGGAGGAGACUGUGACAGAGAAGCAGAGGAGGGUGACAGAGUCAGGGAAGAACAAAACAGCCUGCAGUGGGAGCAGAGACAAAAAUGUGGGGGACCCACAGGGAGGGGA